UGGUCAAGUUAUUAAGGGUGCAGGGCGGAUGCCUUGGCACUAGGAGCCGAUGAAGGACGUGAUAAGCUGCGAUAAGCUUCGGGGAGUUGCACGUAAACUUUGAUCCGAAGAUUUCCGAAUGAGGAAACUCACUUAGAGUAAUGUCUAAGUAUCAUUAAGUGAAUACAUAGCUUAAUGAGGGGAACUCAGGGAACUGAAACAUCUAAGUACCUGAAGGAAGAGAAAGAAAUUCGAUUCCGUAAGUAGCGGCGAGCGAACGCGGAUUAGCCCAAACCAAUAAAGUUUUCUUUAUUGGGGUUGCGGACAUAUCAUAACGAAGAGGUAUCGUAAUUGAAGAGGUUUGGAAAGACCCACCACAGAAGGUAAUAGUCCUGUAUGUUAAACGAGAAGACUUUAGAUAUGAUCCAGAGUACCACGGGACACGUGAAACCCUGUGGGAAGCAGGAGGGACCACCCUCCAAGGCUAAAUACUACCUAGUGACCGAUAGCGUAUAGUACCGUGAGGGAAAGGUGAAAAGAACCCCGGGAGGGGAGUGAAAUAGAACCUGAAACCCUGCACUUACAAGCUGUGGAAGCACAUUUCUUGUGUGACCGCGUACUUUUUGUAGAACGGGCCAACGAGUUACGUUAAGUAGCAAGGUUAAGCACUUAAGGUGCGGAGCCGUAGCGAAAGCGAGUUUUAACUGAGCGUUCAGUUACUUGACGUAGACCCGAAACCGGGCGACCUACCCAUGAGCAGGAUGAAGCGAAAGUAAAAUUUCGUGGAGGUCCGAACCCACGAGCGUUGAAAAGCUCGGGGAUGACUUGUGGGUAGCGGUGAAAUUCCAAUCGAGCCCGGAGAUAGCUGGUUCUCCCCGAAAUAGCUUUAGGGCUAGCCUCAAGGUGAGAGAUACGGAGGUAGAGCACUGAAUGUCCUAGGGGGUAUUGCACCUACCGAAGACUAUCAAACUCCGAAUGCCGUCAUCUUAUACUUGGGAGUCAGACUGUGGGUGAUAAGAUUCAUAGUCGAAAGGGCAACAGCCCAGAUCGUCAGCUAAGGUCCCUAAAUGUAAGUUAAGUGGUAAAGGAUGUGGGAUUGCACAGACAACCAGGAUGUUGGCUUAGAAGCAGCCACUCAUUCAAAGAGUGCGUAAUAGCUCACUGGUCGAGUGAUCCUGCGCCGAAGAUUUCCGGGGCUAAAACUUACUACCGAAGCUACGGCAUCAGUAAUGAUGGGUAGGGGAGCUUCCCAUACGGGUUGAAGCAUGACCGUAAGGACAUGUGGACAGUAUGGGAGUGAGAAUGUUGGCAUGAGUAGCGAGAUGUGGGUGAGAAUCCCACAGGCCGUAAACCCAAGGUUUCCAGGGGAAGGUUCGUCCGCCCUGGGUUAGUCGGGACCUAAGCUGAGGCCGAAAGGCGUAGGUGAUGGACAACAGGUUGAUAUUCCUGUACUACCGAUAACCGUUUGAGAGAAGGGAUGACACAGUAGGAUAAGCUAAGCACACUGUUGGUUAUGUGUGCCCAAGCAUUGAGGCAGUCAAAGUAGGCAAAUCCGCUUUGAUAAUGCUGGGAUGUGAUGGGGAGCGAAAUUUAGUAGCGAAGUAGCUGAUUUCACACUGUCAAGAAAAGUCUCUAUCGAGGUUAAAGGUACCCGUACCGCAAACCGACACAGGUGGGUGAGGAGAGUAUCCUAAGGCCAGCGAGAGAACUGUUGUUAAGGAACUCGGCAAAAUGACCCCGUAACUUAGGGAUAAGGGGUGCCACCAUCAGGUGGCCGCAGAGAAUAGGCCCAAGCGACUGUUUACCAAAAACAUAGGUUUCUGCUAAGUCGCAAGACGAUGUAUAGGAGCUGACGCCUGCCCGGUGCUGGAAGGUUAAGGGGAUCUGUUAGAGCAAUCGAAGCAGUGAACUUAAGCCCCAGUAAACGGCGGCCGUAACUAUAACGGUCCUAAGGUAGCGAAAUUCCUUGUCGGGUAAGUUCCGACCCGCACGAAAGGCGUAACGAUUUGGGCACUGUCUCAACAACAGACUCGGUGAAAUUGUAAUUCCGGUGAAGAUGCCGGAUACCUGCGACAGGACGGAAAGACCCCAUGGAGCUUUACUGUAGCUUGACAUUGGGUCUUGGUACUACAUGUACAGGAUAGGUGGGAGGCUUUGAAACCAGGACGCCAGUUUUGGCGGAGCCAUCCUUGGGAUACCACCCUUGUAGUACUGGGACUCUAACCAUAGGCCAUGAAUCUGGUCUUGGGACACUGUCAGGUGGGCAGUUUGACUGGGGCGGUCGCCUCCCAAAAGGUAACGGAGGCGCUCAAAGGUUCUCUCAGUACGGUCGGAAAUCGUACGUAGAGUGUAAAGGCAAAAGAGAGCUUGAUUGCAAGACAUACAGGUCGAGCAAGGAUGAAAAUCGGACUUAGUGAUCCGGUGGUUCUGCGUGGAAGGGCCAUCGCUCAACGGAUAAAAGCUACCCUGGGGAUAACAGGCUUAUCUCCCCCAAGAGUCCACAUCGACGGGGAGGUUUGGCACCUCGAUGUCGGCUCAUCACAUCCUGGGGCUGUAGUAGGUCCCAAGGGUUGGGCUGUUCGCCCAUUAAAGUGGUACGCGAGCUGGGUUCAGAACGUCGUGAGACAGUUCGGUCCCUAUCCGUCGCAGGCGUAGGAAAUUUGAGAAGACCUGUCCUUAGUACGAGAGGACCGGGAUGGACGUACCUCUGGUGUACCAGUUGUUCUGCCAAGGGCAUGGCUGGGUAGCUAUGUACGGAAUGGAUAAGCGCUGAAAGCAUCUAAGCGCGAAGCCAACUUCAAGAUAAGAUUUCCCACCGCAAGGGUAAGACCCCAGAAAGACUAUCUGGUUGAUAGGUCGAAGGUGUAAGUGCAGCAAUGUAUUUAGCUUAUCGAUACUAAUAGGUCGAGGACUUGACCAAU
rnacentral:rRNA from 1 species